CCUACGGGUGGCUGCAGUGGGGAAUAUUGGACAAUGGGCGAAAGCCUGAUCCAGCCAUGCCGCGUGUGUGAAGAAGGCCUUCGGGUUGUAAAGCACUUUCAGUGGGGAAGAAAGCCUUGGGGCUAAUACCCUCGAGGAAGGACAUCACCCACAGAAGAAGCACCGGCUAACUCCGUGCCAGCAGCCGCGGUAAUACGGAGGGUGCGAGCGUUAAUCGGAAUUACUGGGCGUAAAGCGCGCGUAGGCGGUCUGAUAAGCCGGUUGUGAAAGCCCCGGGCUCAACCUGGGAACGGCAUCCGGAACUGUCAGGCUAGAGUGCAGGAGAGGAAGGUAGAAUUCCCGGUGUAGCGGUGAAAUGCGUAGAGAUCGGGAGGAAUACCAGUGGCGAAGGCGGACUUCUGGACUGACACUGACGCUGAGGUGCGAAAGCGUGGGUAGCAAACAGGAUUAGAUACCCCGGUAGUC
rnacentral:rRNA from 1 species